rnacentral:sRNA from 1 species
UUUUUUUAUUAAAUGAU